CCUCAGGUCCUCAUGCCUGUCCUGAAAGCUGAGAUUCAGGCUUGUACCUCAUGUCCUGGAAAAAAUCCUCACUUUAAUAUACACAUUUCAAGAAUAUUUUCCAUGUUCAUAAACAUAUAAUAAGACUUUUAAUUUUAACCCCCGUACCAGAUCCUUAGGCAUGAGCCUUAAGGAAUCCAUGCUGUUACCCACGUUAUUUUAAGUCAGUGCUGCCUGACCAGCACCCUCAGAUUAUCCUGAGUCUUGCUUUUCUAGAUUGUUAACAUCUUGUUAAUCAGGCAAAAGAAGUCUAAAUUUUAGGUUAUUUUGAGCCUUUAUUCUUUUCUUCUAAGUCCAUUUGGGAUAUAAGACUGCUAGCAAUUGUGAAACCAAUGUUAAAUGAGCUCUUUAAUAUAUCCCUUUGCCAAAUUCUCUGUAAAACAGAUAAAAAUAAGAACAUACUGGUAUUUUAGACUGCUGUGUAUCUCAGGCUGGCCUGCAACGCCCAGCAUUCCACCUGCCUCUGCCUCUAGAAUUCUGGGACUAAAGGCGUGUGCCACCGUGCCAGGCAAAUUGGUAAUAUUAAUGUACUAAUUUAGAAAAGACUAACAGUUGUGCACGGUGGCACAUGUCCUGAAUCCCCAGCUCCUGGGAGAUGAAGACAGAUGUUCAAGGCCAGCCUCUGCAACUCUGUACCUGGGCUUCAUGAAAACUGCCUCAAGAAAGGAACACAAUAAAGUUACUUAGUAAAAAACCAAAAAGAUGUAAACUGAGCUGCAACAUUUUACUUAAAACUCACCGCUAUGUUAUCCCUACCCCCACCCCGCCCCCGACACACACCACGGGCUUUAAAAUGAAUUUUAUUGUCACUUACAUCGCAAGAAAAAAAAAUGGCAAAAGAAUAAUGAAGAUUAACGUACAAACAUAAGGCAUGGAAGAGAAAUUAGGUGUCCCACCGGUCCCAGGUUGGGUCUCGGUGAUGCACUUGUGCAUGCGGUAUGGUGGAGCGGGAGAGAGGAGCGAGCUCAGCGCGGCGGCCGGGUCUUUAAACACUGACCACGGGAGCCGUGGCCCCGCGAACCCCGGCUGCUCGUCCCGCGGAGGGCGCUCUGUCUGCUGCGAGUCCCCGCGGGCGCGGCGGCCAUCCCGUCCGGGGGCCUUCGGCGCCGCAUCAGGCAGCGCGCGGGGCAGCCCGGGGCCAUGGCGGCGGCGGUGGGCGUGCGCGGCGCGGGGCGCUGGUUGGUGGCGCUGCGCUGCCGGGGCGCGAGCGGGGCGGCCAUGUCUUCAGAUGCGCAGUGGUUGACGCCAGAGGAGAGGAGCCAGCUUAUUCCUGACUUGAAAGCAGCAGGGUGGUCGGAGUUGAGCGAGAGAGACGCCAUCUACAAAGAGUUCUCCUUCAAAAAUUUUAACCAGUUUCAGGGCCUGUGUGAUGAUGUCAAGUGAUGUUGGGGACGCUGGUGCUGCUGUCCACUGAGGAAGGGGGCUGCAGCCGAUGGCAUUGUCUUGGGGCUCUUGAUUCCGCUGUUCGUACCAGAUAAUAGCCCUGCUGCUUGGAAAGCACGGCGAGUUCCAGCCCUGUCGGGGCUAGACUGUUGCUAUCAGCGGACGUGCUUCUAGAAGUGCUGUGAUGAUUACUAUCAAAUAAAAACAAAUUUGACAUAAACAAAAACUCAAUGACAUAAGUUCCACCUCUGUACAUUGCCUUCAUGAGUAUAAAGCCCGAGGUGUAGCGUUUAGGGUUUGCGAAGUGCCUGAGUUGAGGUUACCAGGAUAAAGUGGGCAAGAGGGGCUCGCUUUAGGCUUAGCUGACAAGACAAUAAGGCUCAGGCGUUCGGGAAGUAUGAAGGUGUUUGUUUUCAGACGGCAUUGCUGGAGCUGCUUAAAUAGACUAAAAGUGGGUUAGGAGCAACGGCCGGUCCAUAGCUGCCGGCAGCUAUUGGAAAGAGGCCUUUCACGCUGCCUCCCCAGGAUUUGGGUCUUAUCCCCCCC